GAAAAGUCUCAGAAAGCCACUGCCCCAAACAAGCCACCUGCAUUAUCAAACACAGAGAAGAGGAAUCAUUCCGCCUUUUGGGGACCAGAGAGUCAAAUCAUUCCUGUGAUGCCAGAUAGUAGUUCCUCAGGGAAGAACAGAAAAGAGGAAAGUUAUAUAUUUGAGUCAAAGGGUGAUGGAGGAGGAGGGGAACACCCAGCCCCAGAAACAGGUAAACGUCUACCUUGGAAACCCUUUGCAGACUGUAGUCUUCUCAGAACUGCAUGCCCUCUGGCUGAGGAUAUUCCCUGAGGCCAUGAGAGCUCAGGACAGGAGCAGUCCGUCAGUGGACCGAAAGAACUGUCUCCUCGUUGCUUGUAUUGCA
rnacentral:sRNA from 1 species